rnacentral:rRNA from 1 species
AGUGAUAAAAUCCGUCGUCAAGAGGGAAACAACCCGGACUAACAGCUAAGGUCCCCAAAUCUCAUUUAAGUGGAAAACGAUGUGAAGUUACUGAAACAACCAGGAGGUUGGCUUAGAAGCAGCCAUCCUUUAAAGAUAGCGUAAUAGCUCACUGGUCUAGUGAUUUUGCGCGGAAAAUAUAACGGGGCUAAAAUGAGUACCGAAGCUUUAGAUAGUGUCUAUGAUUAUUUAUACUAGCUUGUCUCUUUGGCAUCUUUAAAUGAGCUUCAUUUUUUCUCCUGCGGCAACCUACACGGUUAGCCUUAGUCGAAAAAAUAUCAGCAACAUUUAAAUCUGCUCAAAGAUACUUCGCUUCUUGCAUUAAAAUUUAAAUGCAAUGUCUUGAUUUAAAUUUUAGAAAUUUCAAAAUUUCUUAGAAUUUUAAAAUUUAGUAACAAAAGCAAAAAGAUAAGCCUAAGUAAAGUAUAAAUACUCAUAGACACUGUGGUAGGAGAGCGUUCCAAUCAGCGUCGAAGCCGUACCGGUAAGGAGCGGUGGAGCGGUUGGAAGUGAGCAUGCAGGCAUGAGUAGCGAUAAAAUACGUGAGAAUCGUAUUCGCCGUAAACCCAAGGUUUCCUACGCGAUGCUCGUCAUCGUAGGGUUAGUCGGGUCCUAAGCAAAGUCCGAAAGGGGUAUGCGAUGGAAAAUCGGUUAAUAUUCCGAUACCGAUAUCAGUGUGCGACGGAAGGACGCUUAAAGUUAGUGGAGCUAGCGGAUGGAAGUGCUAGUCUAAGGAAGUAGGUUGAGUUAUAGGCAAAUCCGUAACUCUUUAUCCGAGAUCUGAAAGGCUUCUGACGCUCUUCGGAGUAGAUGAAGAAUCCAUGAUACUAUCGAGCCGAGAAAAGUUUCUAAGUUUAGCUGAUAUCGCCCGUACCGUAAACCGACACAGGUGGGUGGGAUGAGUAUUCUAAGGCGCGUGGAAGAACUCUCUUUAAGGAACUCUGCAAAAUAGCACCGUAUCUUCGGUAUAAGGUGUGCCUAGCUUCGUUAAGAAUUUACUUCGUAAGCGAAGAAGGUUACAACAAAGAGUCCCUCCCGACUGUUUACCAUAAACACAGCACUCUGCUAACUCGUAAGAGGAUGUAUAGGGUGUGACGCCUGCCCGGUGCUCGAAGGUUAAUUGAUGACGUUAGCUCUGCGAAGCGUUUGAUCGAAGCCCGAGUAAACGGCGGCCGUAACUAUAACGGUCCUAAGGUAGCGAAAUUCCUUGUCGGUUAAAUACCGACCUGCAUGAAUGGCGUAACGAGAUGGGAGCUGUCUCAAAGAGGGAUCCAGUGAAAUUGUAGUGGAGGUGAAAAUUCCUCCUACCCGCGGCAAGACGGAAAGACCCCGUGGACCUUUACUAUAGCUUGACACUGCUACUUGGAUAAAGAUGCGCAGGAUAGGUGGGAGGCUUCGAUUCGUAGAUCUCGGUUUACGAUGAGCCAUUGUUGAGAUACCACUCUUCUUUAUUCGGGUAGCUAACUAGCCUAAGUUAUCCUUAGGUAGGACAAUGUCUGGUGGGUAGUUUGACUGGGGCGGUCGCCUCCCAAAAUGUAACGGAGGCUUACAAAGGUUGGCUCAGAACGGUUGGAAAUCGUUCGCAGAGUAUAAAGGCAAAAGCCAGCUUAACUGCGAGACAUACACGUCGAGCAGAGACGAAAGUCGGUCUUAGUGAUCCGGUGGUUCUGUGUGGAAGGGCCAUCGCUCAA